CUAAUACCGCAUAACGUCGCAAGACCAAAGAGGGGGACCUUCGGGCCUCUUGCCAUCAGAUGUGCCCAGAUGGGAUUAGCUAGUAGGUGGGGUAAUGGCUCACCUAGGCGACGAUCCCUAGCUGGUCUGAGAGGAUGACCAGCCACACUGGAACUGAGACACGGUCCAGACUCCUACGGGAGGCAGCAGUGGGGAAUAUUGCACAAUGGGCGCAAGCCUGAUGCAGCCAUGCCGCGUGUAUGAAGAAGGCCUUCGGGUUGUAAAGUACUUUCAGCGGGGAGGAAGGCGAUAAGGUUAAUAACCUUGUCGAUUGACGUUACCCGCAGAAGAAGCACCGGCUAACUCCGUGCCAGCAGCCGCGGUAAUACGGAGGGUGCAAGCGUUAAUCGGAAUUACUGGGCGUAAAGCGCACGCAGGCGGUCUGUCAAGUCGGAUGUGAAAUCCCCGGGCUCAACCUGGGAACUGCAUUCGAAACUAGCAGGCUAGAGUCUUGUAGAGGGGGGUAGAAUUCCAGGUGUAGCGGUGAAAUG
rnacentral:rRNA from 1 species